rnacentral:rRNA from 1 species
CUAUGUGUUGUUGGGUAGGGGAGCGUUCUGUAAGCCUGUGAAGGUGGCCUGUGAGGGUUGCUGGAGGUAUCAGAAGUGCGAAUGCUGACAUAAGUAACGAUAAAGCGGGUGAAAAGCCCGCUCGCCGGAAGACCAAGGGUUCCUGUCCAACGUUAAUCGGGGCAGGGUGAGUCGACCCCUAAGGCGAGGCCGAAAGGCGUAGUCGAUGGGAAACAGGUUAAUAUUCCUGUACUUGGUGUUACUGCGAAGGGGGGACGGAGAAGGCUAUGUUGGCCGGGCGACGGUUGUCCCGGUUUAAGCGUGUAGGCUGGUUUUCCAGGCAAAUCCGGAAAACCAAGGCUGAGGCGUGAUGACGAGGCACUACGGUGCUGAAGCGACAAAUGCCCUGCUUCCAGGAAAAGCCUCUAAGCAUCAGGUAACAUCAAAUCGUACCCCAAACC